UCAUUUGUUUCCCUUUCUCUCACUAAGCCCUUAGUUUGAUGCAAAUUAGCAUAAUUCAAAAUGCUGUUAGUCCAAACAGAGGUGUAUUUAUUUAUAGGUAGAUAAACGGGUGGAUGUAUGGAUAGAAAGAUGGAAAGAAAAAGAGAGGCACAGAGAAAGAGAUUUUACGAGUUAAUGAAAUCAUUACUCCUCUGCACCUGUCCCCAUCUCACCCAUUGCCCUGCCACAGUGGUGACACAAGACCAAGCCUGAGCCUCUUGGGGACAACAGCAGAUCAUGGUGUCACAGACAGCAGGGCACAACAUAUUUUUUUCUGGAGUUGGUAAAGUGGAAAAAUGGGGAUCUGGGCUUACAGGCGAUCGUCUUCCCUAUCAUGAGAUGAGUCUGUAGAAAGGAGUCCAAUGAAGAGAACCCAGGGAAGACCGAAUCUUUUCAGAACCCAGAUCUAGAUGAGCCACAGUCCAGCUGCCCUGUGUUUACUACUUUCUUUCCCUGCUUCACUUAGUCUGAACUUAGAAAAUGUUCCUGUGCCUGCCUGGGCUUUUCAUACAUCAGUACUCUUCCCUGGGGCUUAUAUUUUAUUAUAUAAGCAAGAGUUGAUUUUACACAGUCCUCAAGUUCUCAUCUUCAUUCCUUCUCCCAGAGGCCCACCAACCAAGUUUACACAAAGAAACUAUAGUGAGGCUCUACUAAGUCACCUCCCCAACACUAAUGCCAUAUAUGGACAAUUUAUGAAUUAAAAAAUAAACUGGUGAACACCAAAUUUGUAAGUGUCUGAAGUUCACCUUUCCUCAAAUCAAAAUUACAACUUGGAGCUCAGGAAUUAAGCUGUGGUCCUAUAGAAAGAGACCAAGGUCAUUCACCCCAAUGAACACCCGGAAGAAGCCACUCUUAGCGACAUAGUCAGCGAUGAGUGUGUUGGCAGCUUCAUCCUUUGGCAUGGCCAGCAUCCCACCCCGGAUCCGGCAGUGUGUCAGGGACUCCCUGUAGUUCUUCUCUUCUUGCACGAUGUAGUAGAAUUUCUCCUCAGUUUCCCUAAUCCCUGCUAUGACUUUGCAGAGAGGAAAAGAGCAUGAUUAUGCAUCACAGAAGGAGAAACGGCAAAAUCCAAGUCAUGUCAGAGACACCAUCUCAGUAUUAUAACCAGAGUUAAAAUUAAGAAUAUUCUGAAAUGAAGAUGAACACAAGAUGGCAUAUGUGUGUUUCUAAUAGUGUACAAAAAACAUAGCUGGAUUAUAAUAAAUAAAAGUAAAACAAAAUUAAACCAAUUUCAACUGUAACUACAAUAGAUUCCCAUUCACACUGCCUCAGAAGAGAACAUAUGGGAAAGCCAAAGCAGUAUGGUAGAGUGAACAACCAUGGCAGUCCAAAAAAACCAACGCUUGAAUUCUGGCUCUGCCGCUUACUAGAUAAACAUGAACCGGU